CAAUGUUGCAGGAGCCAGGGACUCCAGGAACCAUAACCAUUUCAAUCAGUUUAGGUGGUUAUGGUGCCAAGAGGGUUCCUUUAUUGACUUUUGUUCAGCUCUAAAACCUGUUCAUUGAGUAUUAUCUCAGUAUCUUUUUUGCCUUUUUGCCCUGUGAAUCUUAACCCUUUCCGCCCUCUGAAUAUUACCCCGUUUUGAUCACUUUUCUUAUAGUAAGUGCUAGGGUGUGUUUUUUAAUUAAGGUGGUGUGCCGGAGUUAAUUUAUGCAGCAGUCAAUCUGCAUGUCCACUCCUUUCUCCCCUUACCCAAGGCUCUAUGCAAAACAAAUAGUAUUUAAAUGCAUUCCCUUGAUCAUAAACAACAAUUCCAAUACAUAACAGAGCUAUUCUGUUAUCUAUGCUAUGUCAACAAACUUUGCCUUUCCUCCACCCUACUCUUACGUGUCCAUAGUUCUUUUCCUCUAGACAUGAGUGUUAAAUUGGGUUAAAGUGCGUCUUUCACUUUUCUCCAACCAGUCCCAAGGCAGUGGAGCAAGACCUGAGGGACUCCAUUCUGGAAUCCCAACAUCUUCAGGUAUCUCCAGACCCAAUCCCUGUAGAAAUAGCCUUGGGUCGGUGCUUGGUAGCAGGAUGGAUGGCCGUCUUCUCUUGAAAAUCAAGAUCUUAAUGGGCAUCCCCAAUCAAAUUUCCUGUUGUGAGAUCUAAGCAAAUUUUUUAUUGGC